UAAUUACAAAAAUACCUCCACUUUCAUAUUCUUACAUUUUUAUGCUUUUUUUGAGAAAGCCAAUUUUCUAGCUCCUUAAUCUUCUUUAACGAUCAUGGAGUAUCUACAAGGAUUACACAAUUCCAGAUCUAGAUUUUAAGGGAUGGGAAAGCUCAUUCUGGCCUCAAAAUUAGCUAAAAAAUUCCAGCAAGAAGGUUAUCUAAGAAUGGCAGCAAUAGGCUGUGACUUCUUCUCUUUACUUCACCGAUAUUUGGUCGUUCUAGUGAGACUGGUGGCGAAGGAGAGGUUGAGACAUCAUGGAGAUGCUAUGGCAAGACUUACGCAUUGAAUGGCACCCGAAAAAAGAACAGAAUGGAGAUGGUGCAACAGUGAGAAAGAGAGCUGAUCGGGGAGGAAAAGACGAGUAGAGACUAAAAUGAAAUUUUUGCAGUAGUCUAAAUUACUUUUGGACAACUGAGAAGACGUUGUACUAAGAGCUGCUCAAAUGGGUCAGAUAGUUGAGAAGGUUUCUCAAGAGAAGUUUUGGGUCAGGUCUUCUCUGCCGCCGGCACAAUUGCCUUGAGUUUUAAAUGGGUAACAAUAAUUAAAAAAUUACAGCUUAAAGCUUCCUAUAUUUUCUGGGUUCUAUUUAGCUAUGAUAAAACCUUGGCUUAGAGGGUUUUGUUUUGUUCUAUUUAAGUUCUUAACUUCUUUUUUAAAGUCUAAAUUGUGAGAUGAUAAAUGAUUGCAAAGCUAAAGAAGAGAAUAGAAAAGAAUUAUGAAGAGGAUGAAGGAGACCAUGAUCUUGCAUAUAUUUAAUCAACUGAUGAGAAGCAUUCAUGAAACCAUGAUCUUGCAUGUACUUAUAAUCAACUGAUGGGAAGCAUUCAUGAAGCUCUUGGCAGGGAUUGGAGAGUGAGAUAUGUGUAUGUGGUGCAUAAGGAUUGGUGCGUGAAGCUAAUGGCUUUGCCUGUUGGUUUGCAAACAGAGCUUUGAGUUGUAAUAUUGGAGACCAUGAUCUUGCAUAUAUUUAAUCAACUGAUGAGAAGCAUUAUAUUAGUUGAAUGAUUUUUCAUUGAGGUUUAGUUGAUGCUUGGUUGACUUUAGAUAUCUAUAGUUUAUGUUUUGUUGAUUUUUUGUUUAUUUUCUAAUCCAUAUUUAUUUAAAUUUUAAUUUUAUUCGUUA